GUGUGUGCUUUGGCAGCAUAUAUACUAAAAUCGGAAUAAG
rnacentral:snRNA from 1 species